AAGGAAUAUUGGACAAUGGUCGCAAGACUGAUCCAGCCAUGCCGCGUGCAGGAAGACGGCCCUAUGGGUUGUAAACUGCUUUUGUACCGGAGAAAACCUAUCUACGUGUGGAUAGCUGAUAGUAUGGUAAGAAUAAGCAUCGGCUAACUUCGUGCCAGCAGCCGCGGUAAGACGAAGGAUGCAAGCGUUAUCCGGAUUCAUUGGGUUUAAAGGGUGCGUAGGCGGGCUUGUAAGUCAGUGGUGAAAUCUCUCAGCUUAACUGAGAAACUGCCAUUGAUACUGCAGGCCUAGAGUAUAGAUGACGUUGGCGGAAUAUGACAUGUAGUGGUGAAAUACUUAGAUAUGUCAUAGAACACCGAUUGCGAAGGCAGCUUACUACACAAUCAUUGACGCUGAGGCACGAAAGCGUGGGGAUCAAACA
rnacentral:rRNA from 1 species